CCCUUCAUGACGUCACAAGUAGGCGGGAAACUCCAACUGCAGUCAGUUGACUGCUGCUGCGUCUCGUUGGGGUUUAAACUUACAAUUCAUACUUUGAAAUCAGUUAUACAUAAGCUAUAAUCCUGCGUGCAACUAAGAUAAUACGUGUAACCUAUACUAAGACCCAAUUAAUAAGAGGUGAUUUGCGCAUAACCCCCGUUUUUUAUUCGUCUGUACAUGUCAUGUAGUUGUAGUAUAGUGUCCCUCAGCCAACAAGUCACUCGUAGUCAGCGAGUGUCUCAUUAGGUCUUGUAAUGUUGAACUGUCGUGACAAGUGGUGGUGUUUUCAUCGUUCAUUGCGUGAAUGUUGCAGUGAUCUGCGUUAUUUACAGCUGCUCCAAUCGUAGAAGAACAAUGCUGAUGGAGAGAAGAUUAGCGUCUACCUAUUACAUGGGCAAAGUAGAGAUAACGUCGUCUCUCAAAACCACACCAGAGUACGUCCGGUUCAUUUCCAACCCAAUGGUUUUGCAAGAAACUUUAGGCACGAGUUACGUCAUUAAGUAUUGCUCUACAAAUGCGAGGAAAGUGGAAACUUCAAGAAGACGCCGUACCGAGCCAACAUUUACACCCGGCUGCCACCAGUGAUUCAGACUUCAAACAACCCUAACUCCAGAAAACGAAACUGCAAAGAAAAGUGAACGAAACUUUACCGAAAUAAAAGGCUGUCGUCUGCAAAUGAUCGCAGGACCGACGACGAAAUACAGAGACAUCUUUUUCUGGAAUUAUCGUGCGCUGGUAGACUGCAGUGUAUAAGCUCGUGGUUAUGGUAUAAUGAUCAUGUCUUCAGGUCGAACACACGGACAAAACAAGUGAGCUGGUCUGGGUAUCAAGCUAGAUAAUGACGCUCUUCUGUUGCUUAGAUAUGAUGUGCUGCAAGCGACGGAUGAUCUAAUGAACUUGAUGCAGUUUUUUUUCUAACAUUCAACGCUACAAGAAACAGGCAAACAAUAUCGUUUUUGGUAACUACUAGAAAUCCGAGUAUCUCUGGAACGCUUUGCUGUUUGAUGUAGCUAUAUUUGAAGACGAAACCCUCAUACCAUUUAUUGGAGAAUUAAUAGGAGAACUGAUAGAGAAAGAAGAGAAGACGACUAAGGACGGCGGAGGAGAUGACACGAGGAAUGCGGAGGGGAGGAAGACAAGGCCGUGACAGCAUCUGAUCUGUUUACCACCCUGCUUGGCGUAUAAGUCCCGACACCCCAAAUCAAGCCCAAUCAGCCGAGAAAACGUUUCUGAGGCAGCAGCAGCAGUCUGUAUAAUCAUCGCAGUUUGUUUCGCCUCACAACGUCAGACGUUUGGGUAGCAGACAAACGUUUGCUAGGUGGAGCGGUCAAUCACUUAGCUGGAAUCCUGGAAGGGAUAAUGGUGCUCUUUACUGCUGUCACUGGGCAGUGGUCUGUUUUAGGUCCAGUUGAAAAUGACUAUCUUCAAGUUGUAGAGUGGCAAUGCUUUCUUGGCCAUUGUCUGCCUCCAGAUCGGAAAAUAAUAAAAACCUUUCGGAUGUUGAUGAACUGCAUUCUUUUCCAUGAAUUCUACAUUUAAGCACAGUUAUGC